rnacentral:rRNA from 1 species
UGGGGAAUAUUGGGCAAUGGGGGAAACCCUGACCCAGCGACGCCGCGUGGGUGAUGAAGGCCUUCGGGUCGUAAAGCCCUGUCGGGAGGAACGAAUGACCUCGUCGCAAAUAGCUACGAGGUGUGACGGUACCUCCGAAGGAAGCACCGGCCAACUCCGUGCCAGCAGCCGCGGUAAGACGGAGGGUGCAAGCGUUGCUCGGAAUCACUGGGCGUAAAGGGUGCGUAGGCGGCCUCCUAAGUCUGACGUGAAAGCCCAGGGCUUAGCCCUGGAAGGGCGUUAGAAACUGGGAGGCUUGAGUACCGGAGGGGAGAGUGGAAUUCCCGGUGUAGCGGUGAAAUGCGUAGAUAUCGGGAAGAAUACCGGUGGCGAAAGCGACUCUCUGGACGGUUACUGACGCUGAGGCACGAAAGCGUGGGGAGCAAACAG